rnacentral:tRNA from 2 species
GUGAGUGUAGCUCAGUUGGUUAGAGCGCCAGGUUGUGGCCCUGGAGGUCGUGGGUUCGACUCCCAUCACCCACCCCA